UACCAGCUCUCCGAGUAGUGUGGAUGUUUAUUGGGCCUAAAGCAUCCGUAGCUUGCUAAGCAAGUCCCCUGUUAAAUCCACCGAUUUAAUCGUUGGAUUGCGGGGGGAUACUGUUUGGCUAGGGGACGGGAGAGGCCGACGGUAUUUCCGGGGGUAGGGGUGAAAUCCUAUAAUCCCGGGAAGACCACCAGUGGCGAAGGCUGUCGGCUAGAACGCGCCCGACGGUGAGGGAUGAAAGCUGGGGGAGCGAACCGGAUUAGAUACCCGGGUAGUCCCAGCUGUAAACGAUGCAGGCUAGGUGUUGGGCGGCCACGAGCCGCCCCAUUCGCCGCAGGGAAGCUGUUAAGCCUGCCGCCGUGGGGAGUACGGCCGCAAGGCUAGAAACUUAAAGGAAGUUGGCGGGGGAGCACCACGAAGGGGUGAAGCUUGCGGUUU
rnacentral:rRNA from 1 species